AGUUGUUCACGGUGUCUUUCCUUAGUUAACUUUAGCAUUAUUUCUUUUUUUUUUUAAUUCUUGUUGCAUUUUGCUUAUGUGUAUUUAAUUGUUUGGCUCAAUGUUCACUUUAAAUUGGUUCAAGCAUUUUUAGCUUUCACUCUAAUGUUGUCUAUUUUAUUCGGUUAUGUUAAUUCAAUUUCGAUGUUAGCUUAGGUUAGUCGGGUUGGUUGUUAAUAAA
rnacentral:lncRNA from 1 species